rnacentral:rRNA from 1 species
UACGAAGGGGGGCUAGCGUUGUUCGGAUUUACUGGGCGUAAAGCGCACGUAGGCGGAUCGUUAAGUCGGGGGUGAAAGCCUGUGGCUCAACCACAGAAUGGCCUCGAUACUGGGACGCUUGAGUAUGGUAGAGGUUGGUGGAACUGCGAGUGUAGAGGUGAAAAUUCGUAGAUAUUCGCAAGAACACCGGUGGCGAAGGCGGCCAACUGGACCAUUACUGACGCUGAGGCGCGAAAGCGUGGGGAGCAAACAGG